UACGAAGGGGGCUAGCGUUGUUCGGAAUUACUGGGCGUAAAGCGCACGUAGGCGGGUUGUUAAGUCAGGGGUGAAAUCCUGGAGCUCAACUCCAGAACUGCCUUUGAUACUGGCAACCAAGAGACUGGAAGAGGUUAGUGGAAUUCCCAGUGUAGAGGUGAAAUUCGUAGAUAUUGGGAAGAACACCAGUGGCGAAGGCGGCUAACUGGUCCAGCACUGACGCUGAGGUGCGAAAGCGUGGGGAGCAAACAGG
rnacentral:rRNA from 1 species